rnacentral:rRNA from 1 species
UGGGGAAUAUUGCACAAUGGGCGCAAGCCUGAUGCAGCCAUGCCGCGUGUAUGAAGAAGGCCUUCGGGUUGUAAAGUACUUUCAGUCGGGAGGAAGGUGUCAAGGUUAAUAACCUUGGCAAUUGACGUUACCGACAGAAGAAGCACCGGCUAACUCCGUGCCAGCAGCCGCGGUAAUACGGAGGGUGCAAGCGUUAAUCGGAAUUACUGGGCGUAAAGCGCACGCCGGCGGUUGAUUGAGUCAGAUGUGAAAUCCCCGGGCUUAACCCGGGAAUUGCAUCUGAUACUGGUCAGCUAGAGUCUUGUAGAGGGGGGUAGAAUUCCAUGUGUAGCGGUGAAAUGCGUAGAGAUGUGGAGGAAUACCGGUGGCGAAGGCGGCCCCCUGGACAAAGACUGACGCUCAGGUGCGAAAGCGUGGGGAGCAAACAGG